CUCCCUAAGUGUAAAUGUGUGUGUGUGUGUGUGUGUGCUUGUGUUUGCUUACGUCUGUUUUGUUGGACAACAAUGAAGGCCUAGCUACUUAUUAACGUUAAAUAUGGAUCAUCAACUCUCCUCUGUGGGAUUUCAACACAUUACUAUAUUGAUCUUGGACAUUACACUGUGAAUAAAAAAUCAGGGCUCCAGAGAUAAUCCUGGGCUUGCCGUUCUGUGAGGCUAUAGACAUGUGGUCUCUGGGCUGUGUUAUAGCUGAGCUGUUCCUGGGCUGGCCCCUCUUUCCCGGUGCAUCAGAGUACGACCAGAUCCGGUACAUCUCCCAGACGCAGGGCUUGCCUGCAGAGUACCUGCUGAGUGCCGGCACCAAGACUAGCCGCUUCUUUAAGAGAGGACCUGACUCCAGCUACCCCCUCUGGAGAAUCAAGGUCAACCUCUCGUCUCACCUGGAGGGGACGGACAUGCUGGCGGAGAAAGCUGAUAGGAGGGAGUUCAUCGACCUGCUGAAGCGAAUGCUCCGAUUGGACGCUGACAAGAGGAUCACGCCCACUAAGACGCUAGGUCACCCCUUCGUCACCAUGAGUCACCUGCUGGACUUCCCUCACAGCUCCCAGUGCCGUCAGCAGGGGGAGCUGUUCCUAUCCUGAACUACCAGCCAACCCUCUACCAGCAGGCCACCAUUAACAUCCCUGGUCUGGCCCAGCAGCGCGUUCCCCUGCAGGCACGACCCAACGGCCUGCCAGACUGAGCCCUUCCAAACACCAAACAGGGCCAAACCUCUCGGAUGCUACAGACGAUUUUUGUCUCGUGCGGAUGCUGGAACCUGCGCAGGAAGUUCGACAAAGGCAGUGGAUUGAGAUGCAAAAAAAUACGUAUUUCUCUUCUUUUUAAAAAACUUUAAUUGGGAUUGUUUAUUAUGCUAAUUCGGUUUCCGUGGGGAAAUCGAGCAUAGGGGGGGUUAACAUCUUGAUAUCAACCUGAAGUGACUAAAGUGAGUAAAAACUGAAAAGUCUUAAAAAAACAACUUUCAACUUACAAACUUUGUCUGAACUGUCGCUGUGAAAUGUUUAUUUUGAUUUUUUGCAUUUAUCAAAAUCCCAUCCGGUGAUUUAUGAUGUGUGUAGCCUAAACUAUUAGGGAUAUUGUUCUUCGUGCACAGCAUGUAAACAUUUAAAUCAAAUCACCACACGAUAAAGGCAAAACAAUUCUGACACUGCCAGAAACUUUGUCGGAGCGAACUUAAUCGGCAGGCCCUGUCACACUGAACGCGCCAAGAUGUCUGGCAAUCGUUUACGACCAAAUAUUUUAUGUGUGUUCUCUGUAGCAGGCAUGGCCAGCCGGUACCCAGCAGAUCCUGAUCCCGUCGUCAUGGCAGCAGGUUCCGGGUGUGGCCAUUCACGGCUCCACCCACCAGUCGGUUGUCACGGAGUCUCCCGUGGAGACACUCCUUCCGGACACAGGCCAGCAGACACACAGCUGGAGGGGAUCUCAGUACAGCGGAAUGCUGCAGCAGAACCUGGGGGUUAAUUCGAGGAGCGGAGCACGGAAGAGGGCAAAGGGUAGUCGUGGCAACAGCAGGACCACCAGGGGUGUGUCUGGCGUAUCCCGACUCACCAACGCCGUGCUGCAGUUCUCUCUCAGCCAAUCAUCAUCUUGGACACGCCCAGCCCGGCGGUCAGCGUCAUCACCAUCCAGUCAGAUGAGGAGGACGAGAGGAAGUUCCACCCCGCCAGGUGUGUCUGGUCUCCCAAUCACAGACCACUGUAGCAGUUGGGCCUCUGCUUUAUGUGCAUCGAUAUAUAGACGUGCAACCCCAGACUUCCUACAUCAAUCCCAAGCUGGCCAAUCGGCAUCCCUGUAGCUCUGGAGACGGCAGCAACCGCCAUAGGCUAGUCCCCAGCCAAUCACAUCCUCUCAACCUCAGCCAGCCUGUGGUCUCGUCCUCUUCGUCCCAGGACUGUUCUCACGGCAACCUGCGUCGCCAGGCAACCUACCCCCCAGACCCCACCUCCCACUACACCUUCCAGGAAGUGCCCUCUCUAAGCUCUGCCCCAAGUCUAUACACUUUCCCUGCAUCCGCUGCUCUAGCCUCUGCCUCCCAGCUCCUGGUGCGUGGCCACCCCUCCACCUAUGCCCCACCCACCGUCCCUUGCGGUACCUCGGGAUUGGUCCGGAGGGAUGCAGGAACCGGGAAGGAGUCUUCUGUGGGGGUGGUGAUGGGGCUUCCCGCAGUUUAUCAGCACCAGUUUACUACUGGAUCCCUUAGUGUCACGCCACGUGCUGAGACCUACAGCGCAUACCAGCUCAGCCCUCGACGCCUGGGACCCCUACUUAUGAUGAGAGAUGAUACUGGAUGUAGAGAGGGGGUGGGCAAGGGGUGGGAGCGAUGACGAGUAGGGCUAUGGCCCUCUCAUACCGACGUAUUUGCACACACACUGAAGGGGCAAUGAGUCCCACGGCUUCACCAUGGUGAUGGAUCUGGGUGAGGUAGGGAUGGAGACAGGAAGUGGGAACAAAUUAACAUUUGCACUACUGCAUUUGGUUUACUGUUAAGCAGUGGUGCCUAUCAAACUGGUUUAACUUUCCCACCUGUUUUAGUACAUUUUGUUUGUUUAAACACGGGAUAUUUAGAGGUAUUAUUAUUUAAUAUUGUACUGUUAUUUAGAGGUAUUAUUAUUUAAUAUUGUACUGUUAUUUAUUUUUUCCCCAGCAGAAAAAAAAAGAAGUGUACUUGUUUUAUUUUAUCCCUGUUUUGAUUGGAUACAGAAUGAGUUAUUGUGGUGAUAGACCAGGUAUAUUAUUAUGUGUUAAUGAACAAAAGGCUGUUAAUUCAUGUUGUAAAAGGGUAUUAGUCUCGUUCUCUAGUGGUGUCGUCAGUCAGCUGAAACAUACAGAAUAAUGCAGAUGGAAAACAUUGGUUUCUAUACCGUAUGUAUAACGUGUAUGGCUCUGGCCUCUGUAUUCCACGUGGCAGAAAUGUAUGGUGUGUAACAGAUAUUCUGGUCUGUGUGCAUUCUGUAACGUUAGUCUCCUGAAUAGGCCCUCGCUGUUGUUUCCUUACAUUAGGAGAUCCUAGAAAGGCCCUGGCUCGAGAGAUGCUAGCAAACCUAAAGAAGACCUAAAGGUGGUCAUUGUCUGUAGCACGGCACGCUAGAGAGAUGCUAGCUAUUAGCUAACCUAAAGGUGGUCAUUGUCUGUAGCACGGCACGCUAGAGAGAUGCUAGCUAUUAGCUAACCUAAAGGUGGUCAUUGUCUGUAGCACGGCACGCUAGAGAGAUGCUAGCUAACCUAAACAAGUUCUAAAGGUGAACCUAGUAUCUUUUAGCAUGGCAGACUUUCUCAAGAUGUUAGCUAUUCGCUAACCCAGGUAUGGACAACUGGCGGUCGUGCGGCCCGCUGCCUCCCUUUCGGUAGACCUGAGGACCAGUUUCACCAACAAACAAAAAGGAACUCAGUUACUGUUGAGUUAAGAUAGUACCUUUACUUCCCUGUUUUCUUUAUUGUGAGUUUGUUUAAAUUAUGUUUUGUCGUUAAUGUGAGCUGUUGGGGGGGGGAGAGAGAGAUUGUUGUUCAACUUAACUCAUGAGUCUGCUGUACAUGUAUGUAGUCUAUUCUGUCACAGCCUGGUAAAGACACUAUAAUCUUCACAUCACCAGAGCUGGGUUAAAACACUUUGAAAUUUUUCAAAUACUUUUAAAGGGUUGCACUUGUAUGACUUUUUCUAUUGGUUCCGUUGCAACAGGCCCAGUCAAUUAAGCACAGUUUUAAAGUAUUUAAGCAUAGCUCACUGAGAGUUUUUUAAUAUUUUUCUGACUGUGAUUACAGAAUGUAUUUAUGAGGCUGAAAGAAGUCAGCCAGAAACUACUUUAGAAACUCAAUUAAUUGAAGUGACAACAACUUGAAAACAAGACUUUUAUGGGAAACGAUUUGGUUAAUUUGGUUCUCCUCUGUUUUAAAGUGCACAAUGAAAUUUACUAAUCAAGUUAUUGGUGAGGAAAAUGUCAACCCAAAUCAAUCCACAACAACCCAACCGCUGUUUUCAAAUAAAUGAACCAUACGUCCUCA